AGAUUGAACGCUGGCGGCAUGCCUUACACAUGCAAGUCGAACGGCAGCACGGGAGCAAUCCUGGUGGCGAGUGGCGAACGGGUGAGUAAUAUAUCGGAACGUGCCCAGUCGUGGGGGAUAACGCAGCGAAAGCUGUGCUAAUACCGCAUACGAUCUAUGGAUGAAAGCGGGGGAUCGCAAGACCUCGCGCGAUUGGAGCGGCCGAUAUCAGAUUAGCUAGUUGGUGGGGUAAAAGCCUACCAAGGCGACGAUCUGUAGCUGGUCUGAGAGGACGACCAGCCACACUGGAACUGAGACACGGUCCAGACUCCUACGGGAGGCAGCAGUGGGGAAUUUUGGACAAUGGGCGCAAGCCUGAUCCAGCAAUGCCGCGUGCAGGAUGAAGGCCUUCGGUUGUAAACGUGUCUUUUUGUACGGAACGAAACGGUUCUCUACUAAUACGAGGGUCUAAGUGACGGUACCGUAAGAAGUAA
rnacentral:rRNA from 1 species